rnacentral:snRNA from 3 species
AUCGCGUGUCGGGCUUUUGGCUAAGAUCAAGCGUAAUAUCUGUUCUUAUCAGUUUACUCUCUGAAGACAACAUAUUAAAUGCAUUUUCGGAGCAGGGAGAUGGAAUAGGGGCUUCCCCAUCCACUGCUCCACUGCUCCAGGUUUGCUUUGAAUCUUU